rnacentral:rRNA from 1 species
AGUGAACGCUGGCGGCAUGCUUUACACAUGCAAGUCGAACGGUAACAGGCCGCAAGGUGCUGACGAGUGGCGAACGGGUGAGUAAUGCAUCGGAACGUGCCCAGUCGUGGGGGAUAACGCAGCGAAAGUUGCGCUAAUACCGCAUGCGAUCUAUGGAUGAAAGCGGGGGACCGUAAGGCCUCGCGCGAUUGGAGCGGCCGAUGUCAGAUUAGGUAGUUGGUGGGGUAAAGGCUCACCAAGCCGACGAUCUGUAGCUGGUCUGAGAGGACGACCAGCCACACUGGGACUGAGACACGGCCCAGACUCCUACGGGAGGCAGCAGUGGGGAAUUUUGGACAAUGGGCGCAAGCCUGAUCCAGCAAUGCCGCGUGCAGGAAGAAGGCCUUCGGGUUGUAAACUGCUUUUGUACGGAACGAAACGGUCCUGGUUAAUACCCGGGGCUAAUGACGGUACCGUAAGAAUAAGCACCGGCUAACUACGUGCCAGCCGCCGCAGUAA